UACGAAGGGUGCAAACGUUGCUCGGAAUCAUUGGGCGUAAAGCGCACGUAGGCGGCCUCGCAAGUCUGAUGUGAAAUCCCUCGGCUCAACCGAGGACGUGCAUCGGAAACUGCGGGGCUUGAGUACUGAAGAGGAUCGCGGAAUUCCCGGUGUAGAGGUGAAAUGCGCAGAUAUCGGGAAGAACACCCGUGGCGAAGGCGGUUCUCUGGGACGGUACUGACGCUGAGACGCGAAAGCGUGGGGAGCGAACAGG
rnacentral:rRNA from 1 species